rnacentral:rRNA from 1 species
UUUUAGAGAGUUUGAUCCUGGCUCAGGACGAACGCUGGCGGCGUGCCUAACACAUGCAAGUCGAACGAGGUUAUUUCUUUUAAUACUUCGGUAAGCGAAGGCUUAACCUAGUGGCGGACGGGUGAGUAACACGUGAGUAACCUGCCUCUCAGAGUGGAAUACCGUUUGGAAACGAACGUUAAUACCACAUAACGUAACGGGACCGCAUGAUUCUGUUACCAAAGGAGCAAUCCGCUGAGAGAUGGGCUCGCGUCUGAUUAGAUAGUUGGUGGGGUAACGGCCUACCAAGUCGACGAUCAGUAGCCGGACUGAGAGGUUGAUCGGCCACAUUGGGACUGAGACACGGCCCAGACUCCUA